rnacentral:sRNA from 1 species
UACUACUCCUGAAAGCAGAGGAAAUCCUUUUCAGGGCUUGUUUGCCUGCAAAUAAGCCCUGAAAAGAUUGCAACGUAUGGCAGAAUUACCA